CAAAACAAACAAAAGGAGGAUACUUAAAGUACAAACCGUUUGAAAAUAAAAAGGGGUAAAACCCAAAAUACACAAUAACCAUAAAUUUAACAAAAUACACAACCAUCAGUAAUUUAACUAAAAAUAAUUCCCCAAAAGGAGGGACAAACUAAUUCAACAGUUUCCUAAAUCAAAAACGUCCCUGCUAACAAAAAGCAAACAAACAAAUCAAGACAAAGCCCAAUCAACUUUAAAGAGACUCCUUUGAGCCAAGAUGGAGUCAUCAAGCAGGUGAGCACACAAAAAUAACCAAGCUUCCCAACGAGCAGGCAUACAAAAUACCCAAGCUUCCCAACAAGCAGGUAAGCAUACAAAAAAUAACCAAGCUUCAAAAUUUUACAACACCAAAAUCAGAAGUGGCGAGCUGUUCUGUCCAAAUACCAGCUGCCUUUAGUGGCAGGUGCAGAGAGUUUAUAUAAUGUAGUCCCUUCUUGAUUGGCGGCGAAUUCAGAAGAACCAGGAAAUGAAUAGUCCAACAUGAACUCCCGGAGACGUCCAGCAGGAGGAGUGCAGAGCACGCAGGGAGAUCAGAGUCCGUCAGGAACAGCGAAGAAGAGGGUAUCCAGCGAAGAAGAAAUCCGAUCCUAUCAGAAACAGCGGUACCGAUAGCACGGAGGAAAACGGUGCUUUUCAGCGACAUCGGCUGGCCAGUCUGUUGAUGAAGUUCUUGGAAGACCAAAUGUAGAAAAGAAUCUGGUCAUGGCAUUAAUGAUUGAACUAGCAGUGAUUUUACGGAGAGGAAUGGCUUCAGGGUAGCGAGUGGAAGCGCACAUUAAGGUAAGUAAAAACUGAUUACCAGAUUUGGUUCGUGGUAAAGGACCCACACAAUCCAUAAUGAUGCGUUCAAAUGGUUCUUUCACUGCAGGAAUUGGAUGGAGCGGAGCAUUUGGUAUGGUCUGGUUAGGCUUUCCAGCCAUCUGACAUAUGUGGCAACUGCGGCAGAAUUUAACCACAUCUGUUUUUAAUCCAGGCCAGUAAAAGUGUUUCAAAAUCA